CUUCGGGGCAGGGUGAGGCGUUUGCCAAUUCCCGAUCGGCGGUAGAGUCCGCGAGCGUAAGCUGAUCCGGUGAGAUUCCGGAACCGACGGUAUAGUCCGGAUGAAAGAAGU
rnacentral:ncRNA from 1 species